rnacentral:snRNA from 1 species
GUGCUCACUUUGGCAGCACAUAUAAUAAAAUUGGAACAACAUAGAGAAGAUUAACAUGCCCUCUUGCGAAGGAUGACAUGCAAAUUCAUGAAAAAGUUAACAGAUGC